ensembl:lncRNA
AGAGCCUAGUGGUUAGUAUGGGGCGGCAGGUAGCCUAGUGGUUAGAGCCUAGUGGGUAGAGCCUAGUGGUUAGUAUGGGGCGGCAGGUAGCCUAGUGGUUAGAGCCUAGUGGGUAGAGCCUAGUGGGUAGAACCUAGUGGUUAGUAUGGGGCGGCAGGUAGCCUAGUGGUUAGAGCCUAGUGGUUAGCAUGGUGCGGCAGGUAGCCUAGUGGUUAGAGCCUAGUGGUUAGUAUGGGGCGGCAGGUAGCCUAGUGGUUAGAGCCUAGUGGUUAGCAUGGUGCGGCAGGUAGCCUAGUGGUUAGAGCCUAGUGGUUAGAGCCUAGUGGUUAGUAUGGGGCGGCAGGUAGCCUAGUGGUUAGGGCCUAGUGGUUAGAGCCUAGUAGUUAGGGCCUAGUGGUUAGAGCCUAGUGGUUAGAGCCUAGUGGUUAGUAUGGGGCUGCAGGUAGCCUAGUGGUUAGAGCCUAGUGGUUAGUAUAGGGCGGCAGGUAGCCUAGUGGUUAGUAUAGGGCUGCAGGUAGCCUAGUGGUUAGUAUGGGGCGGCAGGUAGCCUAGUGGUUAGAGCCUAGUGGUUAGUAUAGGGCUGCAGGUAGCCUAGUGGUUAGAGUGUAGAGGCGGCAGGGUAUACUAGUGGUUAGAGCGUUUGGCCAGUAACUGAAAGGUUGCUGGAUCGAAACCCUGAGCUGACAAGGUAAAACAUCUGUCGUUUCUGCCCCUGAACAAGGCAGUUGUUGUUCAUAGGCUGUCAUUGUAAAUAAGUAUUGUUCUUAACUGACUUAGUUAAAUAAAAGGUUACAAUAGAAAAUCAUUUAAAUGAAAUGCCUGGGGUCUGUCUCUCCAGCUGCACUCAUCAGAGAGAGUCUGGGUCUGAGUAGCAGAACAGGAGUAGAGCCUACACUCAUCUCUCUCUCCCUCCUCCUACCUCAGAGCAUGUUAUGCACACCUGUUUGCCCUCUCUUCCUCUCUCAUAAACAUCCAGUAGAAUUCCCCUUGACUCUCUCAUAAAGUUCUGUAACGACCAUCUGAAGGAAUCCCAUGACAAGUGGCGAAUGCUGUCGGCCUAUUUUCCAGUCCUCUAUCGCUUUAGAACACGUUCUACUGUAGGACAGGCAACAUCAUGAAACACAACAUAGCAGAGGAAUGCCAGGGUUCCCACAGUGACCGUACGUACAUACCCCAACCAGAAGCCAUAGAUUACAGGCAACAUCAUGGAACACAACAUAGCAGAGGAAUGCCAGGGUUCCCACAGUGACUGUACGUACAUACCCCAACCAGAAGCCAUAGAUUACAGGCAACAUCCACACUGAGCUAAAGGGAAGAGCUGCCGCUUUCAAGGAGCGGGACUCUAACCCGGAAGCCUAUAAGAAAUCUGCUAUUCCCUCCAACGAACCACCAAACAGGCAAAGCGUCAAUACAGGACUAAGAUUGAAUCGUACUACACCGGCUCUGAUGCUUGUCGGAUGUGGCAGGGCUUGAAAACUAUUACAGACUACAAAGGGAAGCACAGCCGUGAGCUGCCCGGUGACACGAGCCUACCAGACGAGCUAAAUGACUUAUAUGCCUCCACAUUAUAGCCUCCACAUUGACUCUGUACCGUAACACCCUGUAUAUAGCCUUCACAUUGACUCUGUACCGGUACCCCCUGUAUAUAGCCUCCACAUUGACUCUGUACCGUAACACCCUGUAUAUAGCCUCCACAUUGACUCUGUACCGGUACCCCCUGUAUAUAGCCUCCACAUUGACUCUGUACCGUAACACCCUGUAUAUAGCCUCCACAUUGACUCUGUACCAUAACACCCUGUAUAUAGCCUCCACAUUGACUCUGUACCGGUACCCCCUGUAUAUAGCCUCCACAUUGACUCUGUACCGUAACACCCUGUAUAUAGCCUCCACAUUGACUCUGUAGCGGUACCCCCUGUAUAUAGUCUCCACAUUGACUCUGUACCGGUACCCCCUGUAUAUAGCCUCCACAUUGACUCUGUACCGGUACCCCCUGUAUAUAGCCUCCACAUUGACUCUGUACCGUAACACCCUGUAUAUAGCCUCCACAUUCACUCUGUACCG